UACGUAGGGUGCAAGCGUUAAUCGGAAUUACUGGGCGUAAAGCGUGCGCAGGCGGUUUGCUAAGUGAGAUGUGAAAUCCCCGGGCUUAACCUGGGAACUGCGUUUCUAACUGGCAGGCUUGAGUGUGGCAGAGGGGGGUGGAAUUCCACGUGUAGCAGUGAAAUGCGUAGAGAUGUGGAGGAACACCGAUGGCGAAGGCAGCCCCCUGGGCUAACACUGACGCUCAUGCGCGAAAGCGUGGGGAGCAAACGGG
rnacentral:rRNA from 1 species